rnacentral:rRNA from 1 species
CCUACGGGAGGCAGCAGUAGGGAAUCUUUCACAAUGGGCGAAAGCCUGAUGGAGCAACGCCGCGUGCAGGAUGGAGGCCUUCGGGUUGUAAACUGCUUUUAUAAGCGAGAAAUGUGCUGGUAACUUAUGAGUAAGGAUCAGCUAACUACUUGCCAGCAGCUGCCGUCAUACGUACAGUCGGAGCAUUAUACGGGGUGCCUGGGUGUGAAGAGUUGAGUAGGCGGCAUAGUAAGGAGCUAGUGGAAACUGGUGGCUCAACCAUUCAGACUAUUAGCUAAACUGUUGAGCUCGAGAGCGUUAGGGGUAACUGGAAUUACUAGUGUAGGAGUGAAAUCCGUAGAUAUCAGAAAGAACACCGAUGGCGUAGGCAGGUUACUGGGACGGUUCUGACACUAAGGCACGAAAGCGUAGGGAGCGAACAGGAUUAGAUACCCCUGUAGUC